AAAAGUUGAAAUGGUAAAUUAUAUGUUAUACAUAUUUUAUAUAAUAAACAGAAAAUAAGUGGAUUGUACUAGAUGAUCUCUCCUGUGAGCUCCAUGAGUCUGUGACAUUUUAAAGGCUGAAACUAGAACCACAGACAGAGCAGCAUUUUGAUCUCUUGGGGACUCCAGGCUAUUUUGUGGUUUCUCAGACCCUCCUUACCUACUCCAGAUUCCAUCUGCAGCAGACAGCUUAAUGGGCUGCCUGUCCGUUGUAUGGCAGCUCAUCAUUACAAGCUCCUCAAUAUUAACAGAGGGAGCCCAGUGACAGACACUUAUAAGCAGUCUUCUUACAGGUGAGAUGUCACAUGCCUUGCUCCGUGAGGCCAUCUUCAGCCACAUUUGUUUUACCUGUGCUGGAAGGCUGUGCUCACCAGCUCGUGGCUGUGUUCCAUGCCAGUCAGGCCACGGGGCAAAGGCAGGGUAUAGGAAUAGCCACAAGCUUGCCGAGGUGAUAACUGCUAUAUCCCAGCAGAGUUGGGAAGUUUUUUAUAAUUGAAAAGCUAAUUGUUGGUUUCUUUUCACUUUUAAAACGAGUUCUAUUAAAUUCACUUUCUACUGCCCCACGAAAUCCAAUAAUUUGCUAAGUGAGCAUUUGCUAAGAGGAUGUGGUAAGUUUAGUUUCAUAACUUACCUCAGCUUUUUCGGUCACAGAUUCACAGCACCUUCAUCCUAGAAGGGCUCUGGGAGAUAUCGAGUCCGUCUCUCUCAUUGUAGGUGGAGGAACUGAGGCUCAGAGAAGGAAAAGGAACUGUCAAGCAGCCGUUCAGUGAAUUUCCACCUCACUUCUAUACUUAAGAAAGUGAAUUUAUUUCGCCUGUUGCCACUUUCUGUAAAUCAGAGGAAAUUCGCAGGAGAAAUUACGAUGCUCAAUUCAUUUAAUGUUUCCUUAUCAUUAGUCAGAAGUCAUGUUAAUUUGCAGAGCUGGUUUGUCCACAGGGGAUUGUAGAUUUCCUACUGGGGAAACAGCUUGUGUCUUUGUAAGACAGGGCGUCCUGAAAGCCUGCUGUAGCCGGAGGCUGUUUGAUUAGGUAACUGCUUUGCAUAAAGGAUUGGCACAUUUUAUUUGUCACCAUUUAGUCUAUUAACUGGAAGAACUGAGCCCCAUGAUAUCAAGGAUGGCUUGAGAAGAGAAAUGAUGUCCCUAUCCUUGAUGGAAUGAAUUAUCUGUUUCCUACAGGGUUACAGUUUCUAAUUAAAACGUUGUUUUAAUCAAAAGAUUCUCUGUAUUUUAUGGCACUUUCUUGACUCUUUCUAAGUUCCUUCCCAUUUAAUUAUUAUAAUGAACAUAAUUAGUAUGUGCCAUCAACCCUUCACUGUAUUUGCAUUUUGUAUUGAAUAAUUAAAUGUGGUCUGAUAAUUAAAUUAACUCAAAUGACAGAUGAUUUGACUGCCUGCAUAUUGCUAUAUUGGGAAUAUGCACCUUUGCAUACUCAUUUGAGUUAGCAACUGGCUUUUUCAUUUGGAAAGCCCCAUAGAUGGCAGCUAUCAGAGUUGGAGUUUCUUUCGAUCCCAGAAACAAGGAUCCCUUUGAUCCUUCCUCCCCCAUCGAGCUCUCUCUAGUGAAGUCUGUGCUGAUCAUGUAACCGCCUGCUCUGCACCACACCCUGCCAAAGGCUCCUGAAAGCUUCUGGGCAGAUCAGAACAGGCAAGCAAGUUGGACAGUGAAGCUCAUGAAACUCUGAGCCUGAGCCGUAUGCCAUGCAUUUUCCAGGUGUUUUGUAACCCAGUGACUUAGUGAGAAACCCCAAACGUUAAUUUAACUGCAGGUUCCAAAAAUGAAUCUGCUGUACUCACCUCGGGUGUUUCCCUGCACACAGAAAUAAGGAGUGGUUUCCUAGAGUCAUGGUGUGUUAAGAGUUGCAGUUUUCCACAAUCCCAUUCCAGCAGAGAACUUUCAGAGGUGGCCUAAUUCCCGCUCAGACAUUCUUACUUCACUCUUUGUGUCCCUCAAAGGCAGCUGGUCAGUCCUAGGUCACACCCAUUUGGGAAACUCCCCUAGCCCCAUCCCACUUCACGAAUGGAGGCUGCUGCGGUGGGCUCAGCGUGGAAACUCCAGCACUCAAGGCCUUUCUGUUCUCCCAGAGUUGGCAGCUCAUUCUCCAGCUGUCACACAGGCAUUCCGAUUUCUGUAUUUUCUUUCUUUCUGUGACAGAUACGUUCCUUUCAUAAAAUACAAAUACAUCACGUCUAAGGAAGAGCCAAGAGUUUCAACAAUACAACCAUUUUGGAACCACGUUACCCUCAAUAUCAUAGCACCAAAGAAAAAAUGUGGGGCUUUUUUUUUCCCAGAAGUAGAACAAAAAAUUCCUAUUUAAAAAUAAUUUAUACCUAAACAUUUAUUUUAAGACUUCUAAUGAGUGAACUGGCUGACAUAAGAAAAGAAUGGAGAAAUUUGCCCAUUAGCAAUUUUGGCCAGUUGCAUUUAAAAUCACCAACUUCACAGAAUCCAAAUAAAAAAUACCGUUUAUUUUUCUCACUUUGGUGAAUUUUUCCGCCCAAGGGUAGUUUGAAGCACCGCAUGCUCACACUGGAUACAGUUUUUACUCCACAAGCCUCCGAGAGGUCAGAAGGAACUCCUGGCUUGCCUGAGUGGCUGUGUUGCUGUCUACAUCAGCUGGGCUAGACAGCAGCCAGCCCGGGGAGCUGCUGCCAGGUCAGGAGUCUCCAGGAACCUCAGUUAUCCUUUGCUUACUUGAAAAUCUUCUACUGGGGCAUGAAAUCUGCACCA